rnacentral:rRNA from 1 species
AGUGAACGCUGGCGGUAGGCCUAACACAUGCAAGUCGAACGGCAGCACAGUAAGAGCUUGCUCUUACGGGUGGCGAGUGGCGGACGGGUGAGGAAUACAUCGGAAUCUACUUUUUCGUGGGGGAUAACGUAGGGAAACUUACGCUAAUACCGCAUACGACCUACGGGUGAAAGCAGGGGAUCUUCGGACCUUGCGCGAUUGAAUGAGCCGAUGUCGGAUUAGCUAGUUGGCGGGGUAAAGGCCCACCAAGGCGACGAUCCGUAGCUGGUCUGAGAGGAUGAUCAGCCACACUGGAACUGAGACACGGUCCAGACUCCUACGGGAGGCAGCAGUGGGGAAUCUUGGACAAUGGGCGAAAGCCUGAUCCAGCCAUACCGCGUGGGUGAAGAAGGCCUUCGGGUUGUAAAGCCCUUUUGUUGGGAAAGAAAAGCAGCAGGUUAAUACCCCGCUGUUCUGACGGUACCCAAAGAAUAAGUACCGGCUAACUUCGUG